UCAAAAUGUAAUGACAAAAAUAGUAUUUCUGCCAUAUUUAAAUUCAUCUUCUUUCGCUUCUCCUUUUUAUUACUUCUGUACUUCCCCUUUUCUUCUUUCUUCACACUAUCAUCAUCUUGUUUUUCUAAGAAAGAUGAGUUCUUCACUUGUUUUGAGUUCUUCACUUUGUCUUCCUUUGAUUUCUCCUCAUCGGUCUCCAAUUUGUAGUGGAAUCAAAUUGGGCUGGGCCUAUCCUCGCAUUGCCCUCCGAUGCAACUCGUUUUCUUCAUCUGAGAUAGAGAACAAAGAAAUUGGUUGUCAGACGAAGAAAACGAGCUGCAUCAAAGGGCAAUGCAAGGACAGGCCCAACCCAAUUUGAUUCCACCACAAACUGGAGACCGAUGAGGAGAAAUCAAAGGAAGACAAAGUGAAGAACUCAGAACAAGUGAAGAACUCAUCUUUCUCAGAAAAACAAAAUGGUGAUAGUGUGAAGGAAGAAGAAAAGGGAAAGUACAGAAGUGAUAAAAAGGAGAAGCGAAAGAAGAUGAAUUUAAAUAUGAAAGAAAUACUAUUUUUGUACUUACAUUUUGACAUUAUUUCCGAUUUGAUUCCUAUUUUUUUAUUUUAUUGUUUUUAGUCCCUGAAUAAAAAAGCGUCUUAUUUUGGUCUCA